rnacentral:rRNA from 1 species
GUGGGGAAUUUUGGACAAUGGGCGCAAGCCUGAUCCAGCAAUGCCGCGUGUGUGAAGAAGGCCUUCGGGUUGUAAAGCACUUUUGUCCGGAAAGAAAUCUCUUGGGUUAAUACCUCGGGGGGAUGACGGUACCGGAAGAAUAAGCACCGGCUAACUACGUGCCAGCAGCCGCGGUAAUACGUAGGGUGCGAGCGUUAAUCGGAAUUACUGGGCGUAAAGCGUGCGCAGGCGGCUCUGCAAGACAGAUGUGAAAGCCCCGGGCUCAACCUGGGAACUGCAUUUGUGAUUGCAAGGCGAGAGGGCGUCAGAGGGAGGUGGAAUUCCGCGUGUAGCAGUGAAAUGCGUAGAGAUGCGGAGGAACACCGAUGGCGAAGGCAGCCUCCUGGGAUGACACUGACGCUCAUGCACGAAAGCGUGGGGAGCAAACAGGAUUAGAAACCCCUGUAGUCC